GACGAACGCUGGCGGCGUGCUUAACACAUGCAAGUCGAACGAUGAUCUCCAGCUUGCUGGGGGGAUUAGUGGCGAACGGGUGAGUAACACGUGAGUAACCUGCCCUGGACUCUGGGAUAACCCCGAGAAAUCGGAGCUAAUACCGGAUAGGACCUUGGACCGCAUGGUUUGGGGUGGAAAGUUUUUUCGGUUUGGGAUGGACUCGCGGCCUAUCAGCUUGUUGGUGAGGUAAUGGCUCACCAAGGCGUCGACGGGUAGCCGGCCUGAGAGGGUGACCGGCCACACUGGGACUGAGACACGGCCCAGACUCCAACGGGAGGCAGCAGUGGGGAAUAUUGCACAAUGGGCGCAAGCCUGAUGCAGCAACGCCGCGUGCGGGAUGACGGCCUUCGGGUUGUAAACCGCUUUUAGUGGGGAAGAAGGGGCUCCUUCGGGGGUUUUGACGGUACUUGCAGAAAAAGGACCGGCUAACUACGUGCCAGCAGCCGCGGUAAUACGUAGGGUCCGAGCGUUGUCCGGAAUUAUUGGGCGUAAAGAGCUCGUAGGCGGUUUGUCGCGUCUGCUGUGAAAUCCGGAGGCUCAACCUCGGGUCUGCAGUGGGUACGGGCAGACUGGAGUGCGGUAGGGGAGAAUGGAAUUCCUGGU
rnacentral:rRNA from 1 species